rnacentral:lncRNA from 1 species
GCAUCUCUUUGGAUUUACAGUUGUUUAUAGCAAAAGAAAAAAAAUCUUUGUUUUUCUUUUUUCUUCUUUUUAUUUAAACAACAGGAAAAGACUCACGUUCGCAAUGCGCAAAGCAUUAGAAAGAUACCGGUAGAAGACGCAGCUCGCCGGCGCCCUUUGCAGAAGAUGCUGGGAAAUGUAGUUCCUGUCGGCCGCGUGCGCAGGCGUACUUCUUGGCUUGAGAACCUCAUCGCCCGACAGUGCUCUUUAUUUUUCCGUGGAGCAGGUCUCUACUUACUUCUAUAAGAUGGCAUCAAGAAGAAGGACCUGACCACUGGCCCCUGACUACAUGGUCUUUGGUGUCUUUAUAGGGAAACUUCAGUAUUGCUUCCGUAUAUCCUCAACAGGUAAGUAGUAGACACCAAAUAAUAAACUUUUCGCCACUCUUGAGCCUGGAAUUCUG